rnacentral:rRNA from 1 species
UACGGAGGAUGCGAGCGUUAUCCGGAUUUAUUGGGUUUAAAGGGUGCGUAGGCGGUCCGUUAAGUCAGCGGUAAAAUUGCGGGGCUCAACCCCGUCGAGCCGUUGAGACUGGCAGACUUGAGUUGGCGAGAAGUACGCGGAAUGCGCGGUGUAGCGGUGAAAUGCAUAGAUAUCGCGCAGAACUCCGAUUGCGAAGGCAGCGUACCGGCGCCAGACUGACGCUGAGGCACGAAAGCGUGGGGAUCGAACAGG